rnacentral:rRNA from 1 species
GAUGAACGCUGGCGGCGUGCCUAAUACAUGCAAGUCGAGCGAACAGACGAGGCGCUUGCUCCUCUGACGUGAGCGGCGGACGGGCGAGUAACACGUGGAUAACCUACCUAUAAGACUGGGAUAACUUCGGGAAACCGGAUCUAAUACCGGAUAAGAUAUUGAACCGCAUGGUUCAAUAGUGAAAGACGGUUUUGCUGUGACUUAUAGAGGUAUCGAAGUCGCGUUAGCAAGUGGGUAGGGUGACGGCCUACCAAGGCAACGAUGCGUAGCCGACCGGAGAGGAUGAUCAGUCACACUGGAACUGAGACACGGUCCAGACUCCGAGGGGAGGCAGCAGUGGGGAAUAUUGGACAAUGGGCGAAAGCCUGAUCCAGCCAUGCCGCGUGUGUGAAGAAGGUCUUCGGAUUGUAAAGCACUUUAAGUUGGGAGGAAGGGCAGUAAGUUAAUACCUUGCUGUUUUGACGUUACCAACAGAAUAAGCACCGGCUAACUUCGUG